AGUAACGGCGAGUGAAGCGGUAAAAGCUCAAAUUUGAAAUCUUCGGAAUUGUAAUUUGACGGGUAGAAUUUGUUUUUUAAAGAAAGUUCACUGGAAUGUGACGCCACAGAGGGUGAUAGCCCCGUUAACUAAAGAAACUAUUUAAUUCUAUUCCUAAGAGUCGGGUUGUUUGGGAAUGCAGCUCAAAGUGGGUGGUAAAUUCCAUCUAAAGCUAAAUAUUGGCGAGAGACCGAUAGCGAACAAGUACAGUGAUGGAAAGAUGAAAAGAACUUUGAAAAGAGAGUGAAAUAGUACGUGAAAUUGUUGAAAGGGAAGGGAAAGGGGGAGAUAAUUCAAGACAAUACC
rnacentral:rRNA from 2 species